rnacentral:rRNA from 1 species
CCUGUGAUAGCGGGAUAACACAUGGAAACGUGUGCUAAUACCGCAUGAAGCAUCAAUACUGCAUGGUGAAGAUGUUAAAGAGAAAUCGAUCAUAGAUGGGCUCGCGUAUGAUUAGAUAGUUGGUGAGGUAACGGCUCACCAAGUCUGCGAUCAUUAGCCGAACUGAGAGGUUGAACGGCACAUUGGAACUGAGAAACGGUCCAGACUCCUACGGAAGGCAGCAG